UUGGCCACAAAUUGCGGUCCGUGGCCCCAUUGAAGUCAAUCGGUCCGCAAAAAACGGAUAGCACACGGAUAUGCAUCCGUAUGUCAUCCGUUUUUUGCGGACCCCUAGACUGAAAAUGUUCUAGGAAACCCCAUUCAGUCACAUUACCCUUCCGUUUUUUUUGAACAGUGAAAAAC